rnacentral:rRNA from 1 species
UACGUAGGGGGCAAGCGUUGUCCGGAAUCAUUGGGCGUAAAGCGCGUGUAGGCGGUCCGGUAAGUCCGCUGUGAAAGUCGGGGGCUCAACCCUCGGAUGCCGGUGGAUACUGUCGGGCUUGAGUACGGAAGAGGCGAGUGGAAUUCCUGGUGUAGCGGUGAAAUGCGCAGAUAUCUGGAGGAACACCAGUGGCGAAGGCGGCAUCCUGGCCAUGUACUGACGCUCAGGGGCGAAAGCGUGGGGAGCAAACCGG